GUGGGGAAUCUUGCGCAAUGGGCGAAAGCCUGACGCAGCCAUGCCGCGUGAAUGAUGAAGGUCUUAGGAUUGUAAAAUUCUUUCACCGGGGACGAUAAUGACGGUACCCGGAGAAGAAGCUCCGGCUAACUUCGUGCCAGCAGCCGCGGUAAUACGAAGGGGGCUAGCGUUGCUCGGAAUUACUGGGCGUAAAGGGCGCGUAGGCGGACAGCUUAGUCAGAGGUGAAAGCCCAGGGCUCAACCUUGGAAUUGCCUUUGAUACUGGCUGUCUUGAGUACGGGAGAGGUGAGUGGAACUCCGAGUGUAGAGGUGAAAUUCGUAGAUAUUCGGAAGGACACCAGUGGCGAAGGCGACUCACUGGCCCGUUACUGACGCUGAGGCGCGAAAGCGUGGGGAGCAAACAGGAUUAGAAACCCGAGUAGUCC
rnacentral:rRNA from 1 species